CUCGGGGCCGCGCUCGGGGCCGCGCUCGGGGCCGGCGCGGCGCUGCCUGCGCGGGGCCCGGCGGCGCCGGGGCCGCCCCGCCGACCCUCGGUAGCGCCCGGCGGCCGCGGAUGAGCCGCUCCGCCCCGGCUGCCUGCGAAGGAAGAAAAGUUUGGGGGCGACUUAGGGCCGCGGGAGCGCCCGAGGAGGAGGAUGCGCGGUUUCCCCGGCUGAUCGGGAAGGAAGGAUGACCGAGGGAGGAUGUGCACCAGCAGCCAGAUCAUCGGGAGCCUCCUGGUGCUCUCCGUGCUGGAGAUAGGGUUAGGGGUGUCCAGCGUGGCCGUGGGGGCGGUCAGUUUCAGCCUGGUCCUCACAGAGCAUAAACCUCAGCUGGGAGACUCUUCUCCGGUAUGGAGCGGGGUGUGUUUCCUGCUUUGCGGCGUGUGUGGAAUAUUGUGCGCCAAAAAAAAAUCUGGACUUGUUAUGAUACUUUUUUCUGCCUGUUGCAUCUGUGGACUAAUAGGAGGAAUCUUAAAUUUUCAAUUUCUUCGUGCUCUGACAAAGAAGUCAUCUGCUCUCUAUUCUUUACAUCUUGCCUCCAUGUCUCUUGCAUGCAUUGGAAUUGGUGGUUGCACCCUUUCUUCAUGGCUCACUUGUCGGCUAGCCAGCUAUGAACAAAGGCGAAUGUUCUCCGAAAGGGAACAUUCACUGCAUCACUCCCAUGAAAUGGCAGAAAAAAGAUUGAGGGGUAUUGAAAUAACCGACCUGCCCAGCUGCCCGGUGAUUCCCCCGACACCAGAGUUACCUCCAAGGUACGCUGAACACUAGGGAGCGACCAUGUUGUUAUGUCACUUCAGGAAGGGCCACCUCUACGAGGAAGUCAUAGCUUCAGCUAAUCAAAGUUGGCUGAUGCUGUGAUGUUACUCUGAGGCAGGAAUGGUGCUUCCAGGUAGUGACAUAACUCUACGUGGUGAACGCUGCAAUCUGGAAGAAAUUACAGACAACCUAAGCAAUGGUGGCCCACAUUUGAUUUAUAAUGGAAGUGUAUAUUAAGACAUUUUUAAAAGUUCCAUGGAAGGAAGUGGUUUUAGAAUUUUCUUCAGGAAAACAAAUAGACUCCAAGAAAUUAAGAAAAUGAAACUAUGCUUUUAUGGCUCAAAUGAAACUUAGCUUUUAUGGCUCAAAUGUCACAACUGCAGACCAGCACAGUUGCAAUUCCCUUUUAGAAACAUGUUCAAAAUUUAUCUCCAAAACAUUUUGCGGAUAUACAAUAUUUAUUCACUUCCUGGCUACUCUCUUUCAGUUUUUUGUCUGAAUAAUCUUUCUGAAUUGUGAUAGUAUUUGAAAUAGACUUCGCAAGACUCUUAUUCUCAUGAAGACUCAAAAAUCAGAAAAAAAAAUAAACUGAACUGCAUUUAGCCCACUCAAAGGAGAAGGCAGAGGAAGAAUGGCUCAGGGGAAUCUUUUUCUCCUCUCCACUUAGCAGCAUCUGGUUUAAUAUGAUGGCUUCAGAUCAUGGCAUGGUACAGCAACACAUCUGCACAGUCCCUCUCCUCACAUUUUGAAUGCAUCCUGCCUCGGUUUUCCCAGUAGACCAUAUCAAAAUAGAGUGCAAACUCCUCUUCCAAAAAGCUCCCAUUUCACAUCCAGAGUGUAAAUGAACAGUGUGCUGAAAACAACACCGAUGUCUUUGUUUUGAAAGACAGAAUGCGCUAAGAAUGCCAUAAAUCAAAACCUCAAUAAUGCCUUGUUGUAAAGAUAUUGUAAAUAUUUCCAAUUUGUGAAUGAAGUAUAUUUCGUAAUUUGUUCAUAAAAGAUGACAAAUAAAAGGAAAUCUAAACCAGA